GUGCUAAAAGCAUAGUGGGAAAGUGACGUGAAAUUCGUCCACAUUACUUGAUAAGGUCAUAGUCCGAAUGCCACCUAGCACAGAACAGAGCAAGGAGACUCGAAUGGUAAGAUUGAUUA
rnacentral:ncRNA from 10 species